rnacentral:rRNA from 1 species
GUAGGGAAUAUUGGUCAAUGGACGAAAGUCUGAACCAGCCAUUCCGCGUGCAGGAAGAAGAUUCUAUGGAUUGUAAACUGCUUUUAGCAGAGAAGAAACGCCUUCAUUGAUGAGGGUUUGACGGUAUCUGCGGAAUAAGCACCGGCUAACUCCGUGCCAGCAGCCGCGGUAAUACGGGGGGUGCAAGCGUUAUCCGGAAUCACUGGGUUUAAAGGGUGCGUAGGCGGGAAAUUAAGUCAGUGGUGAAAGUCUGUUGCUUAACGAUAGAAUUGCCGUUGAUACUGAUUUUCUUGAAUUGGGUUGAGGUUAGCGGAAUGUGACAUGUAGCGGUGAAAUGCAUAGAUAUGUCAUGGAACACCGAUUGCGAAGGCAGGUGGCUGUACCUUAAUCGACGCUGAUGCACGAAAGCAUGGGGAGCAAACAGGAUUAGAUACCCCGGUAGUCC